rnacentral:rRNA from 1 species
AGAGUUUGAUCCUGGCUCAGGACGAACGCUGGCGGCGUGCUUAACACAUGCAAGUCAAACGGAGAGCGAUGGAAGCUUGCUUCUAUCAAUCUUAGUGGCGAACGGGUGAGUAACGCGUAACCAACCUGCCCUACAGAGGGGGAUAACAACGGGAAACCGUUGCUAAUACCGCGUACGAUUAAGCUUCGGCAUCGAAGCUUAAUGAAAGGUGGCCUCUACGUAUAAGCUAUCGCUGAAGGAGGGGGUUGCGUCUGAUUAGCUAGUUGGAGGGGUAACGGCCCACCAAGGCAAUGAUCAGUAGCCGGUCUGAGAGGAUGAACGGCCACAUUGGGACUGAGACACGGCCCAAACUCCUACGGGAGGCAGCAGUGGGGAAUCUUCCGCAAUGGACGAAAGUCUGACGGAGCAACGCCGCGUGAGUGAAGAAGGUCUUCGGAUCGUAAAACUCUGUUGUUAGAGAAGAACAUGCGAGAGAGUAACUGUUCUUGUAUUGACGGUAUCUAACCAGAAAGCCACGGCUAACUACGUGCCAGCAGCCGCGGUAAUACGUAGGUGGCAAGCGUUGUCCGGAUUUAUUGGGCGUAAAGGGAACGCAGGCGGUCCUUUAAGUCUGAUGUGAAAGCCUUCGACUUAACCGAAGAAUUGCAUUGGAAACUGGAGGACUUGAGUGCAGAAGAGGAGAGUGGAACUCCAUGUGUAGCGGUGAAAUGCGUAGAUAUAUGGAAGAACACCAGUGGCGAAAGCGGCUCUCUGGUCUGUAACUGACGCUGAGGUUCGAAAGUGUGGGUAGCAAACAGGAUUAGAUACCCUGGUAGUCCACACCGUAAACGAUGAAUGCUAAGUGUUGGAGGGUUUCCGCCCUUCAGUGCUGCAGCUAACGCAAUAAGCAUUCCGCCUGGGGAGUACGACCGCAAGGUUGAAACUCAAAGGAAUUGACGGGGGCCCGCACAAGCGGUGGAGCAUGUGGUUUAAUUCGAAGCAACGCGAAGAACCUUACCAGGUCUUGACAUCCAGUGCAAACCUAAGAGAUUAGGUGUUCCCUUCGGGGACGCUGAGACAGGUGGUGCAUGGCUGUCGUCAGCUCGUGUCGUGAGAUGUUGGGUUAAGUCCCGCAACGAGCGCAACCCUUGUCAUUAGUUGCCAUCAUUAAGUUGGGCACUCUAAUGAGACUGCCGGUGACAAACCGGAGGAAGGUGGGGAUGACGUCAAGUCAUCAUGCCCCUUAUGACCUGGGCUACACACGUGCUACAAUGGACGGUACAACGAGAAGCGAACCUGCGAAGGCAAGCGGAUCUCUUAAAGCCGUUCUCAGUUCGGACUGUAGGCUGCAACUCGCCUACACGUAGCUGGAAUCGCUAGUAAUCGCGGAUCAGCACGCCGCGGUGAAUACGUUCCCGGGCCUUGCACUCACCGCCCGUCA